CACCCGUGGGAGCGAUCUGCUCCCAGAUGAUUUAGGAAUCAUCAUCGAUUUGAAUCUUUCUCUGUAUUUUUGCAUUGAAUUUCAGAUUCCCCAAAGGACUGUCAGAGGUUCCAAUCCAAGCCUAUUCUUUUCAAACAAAAGAAAACCAUCUUUGUAAUUAAUUGAGAACUGGAUAAAUGUUGAUUGGGAUCAUGGAAAGAAUUCACUUUCAACUCUGAUCAUGAAUUCUUUUAUUUUGCAGUGGAUGUUCUGUGGCCUCAGCCCCCUCUAAUUCCGAUCUUUCAAUAAAUAAUAGGUAUGUGACUAUCUGUGGCAAAUCAGCUCUGUAGCAACUGGACUCUGUCGUAUUCUCUGUGGUAUCCUCGGCACCAGGCCCAGUGUAAUCACGCAACAGGACCUCACCUUGACUAUAAGGUUAGAAAGAAGAGUUGGUGUGUACAAGCAAUUGAGAACAUUUAGCAGGCAGGUACUCAGAGCAGCUGGAUACAGGCUCCCACAGCCAGACACCUGCAUCACCAGGCUCACCGGGGCCUGCCACCCUCCUCACUGAGGACACCCAGGAUGAUGUUCUCCAGCCCUGUCUGCACCCUUAGCUGUCACCUGGCCCAGAACCACAGCCUGCCAAAGCAGGAGACCCUCACAGUCCUGCCCCUAACAGGGAGAAUCUUCUUUGUUUUCCUGCCUGAAGGACAAGGAGGUUUUCAGGUCCCAUCAGCACCAGCUGGCUGACAGCCAGUUCCCAAACGCUCAGGCCGCCUCAUUCUCCAUGAGACGAUACAGCACUUCUCCAUCGUCUUCAGCACAAAGAGCUGAAAUUCCUCAGUGGGCUUGAUCAACAGUGGGCAGAUCUGGAGACUAGUUUGGUGCAGGAGAUGGAGAGGAAAAGACCCUGCUGGGCAAUGAGGACUCCAGCCUGACUUUGAAGAACUUCCAAAGGACCAGGCUCGAUCUGAAAAGAAAGUCCACAGCUGCUGUGCCCAGGACAAUAUGAGAGUGGAAGUUAAGGCGUGAAAAUCAGAGUGUGCUUUCCCUGUAUGUUCAACCUCAGAGAACCCAGGAGUGGGAAAAGGAGACCUGGACCCAAUCUUCUACAAUGGAGUCUUCUCUGCUUAGAGGUGGCCUCUAGCGCGUCCAUAUUCACUCCCUUCAAUGACUUUUCUUCUGAUUCAGUUGUAAAUACAUCGAGUCAUCUCAGGACAUUGUUUUUCAACAGAAAAAGAAAACAAUUGCCCUAAGUCAUGCAUGAAGCCGAAGGAAGACUAAGGAGAUGCCGAGCUAACGAAUUUACUGGUCACCUGAGAAGACAAGAGUAACCCACAAGAGAAGAUGCAGCAAGACUGUCAUUUUCAAACACUUUUACUGACACAACUAUGUUCAGCUUAUUACACUUAUCGCUUUUAUUAACAACUCUGAGGACCAAUGAUGUCCCUAACAGUGUGCAGGUUACUGGGUGGGAAUAAGAAGUGUAGCUGGAGAGUGAGCUGAGUGCUAUGGUACCU